GGUGUGACUGCGUACCUUUUGUAUAAUGGGUCAGCGACUUAUAUUCUGUAGCAAGGUUAACCGUAUAGGGGAGCCGCAGGGAAACCGAGUCUUAACUGGGCGUUAAGUUGCAGGGUAUAGACCCGAAACCCGGUGAUCUAGCCAUGGGCAGGUUGAAGGUUGGGUAACACUAACUGGAGGACCGAACCGACUAAUGUUGAAAAAUUAGCGGAUGACUUGUGGCUGGGGGUGAAAGGCCAAUCAAACCGGGAGAUAGCUGGUUCUCCCCGAAAGCUAUUUAGGUAGCGCCUCGUGAAUUCAUCUUCGGGGGUAGAGCACUGUUUCGGCUAGGGGGUCAUCCCGACUUACCAACCCGAUGCAAACUACGAAUACCGAAGAAUGUUAUCACGGGAGACACACGGCGGGUGCUAACGUCCGUCGUGAAGAGGGAAACAACCCAGACCGCCAGCUAAGGUCCCAAAGUCACAGUUAAGUGGGAAACGAUGUGGGAAGGCACAGACAGCCAGGAUGUUGGCUUAGAAGCAGCCAUCAUUUAAAGAAAGCGUAAUAGCUCACUGGUCGAGUCGGCCUGCGCGGAAGAUGUAACGGGGCUAAACUGUGCACCGAAGCUGCGGCAGCGACACUAGGUGUUGUUGGGUAGGGGAGCGUUCUGUAAGCCUGCGAAGGUGGCCUGUGAGGGUUGCUGGAGGUAUCAGAAGUGCGAAUGCUGACAUAAGUAACGAUAAUGCGGGUGAAAAGCCCGCACGCCGGAAGACCAAGGGUUCCUGUCCAACGUUAAUCGGGGCAGGGUGAGUCGACCCCUAAGGCGAGGCCGAAAGGCGUAGUCGAUGGGAAACAGGUUAAUAUUCCUGUACUUGGUGUUACUGCGAAGGGGGGACGGAGAAGGCUAUGUUAGCCGGGCGACGGUUGUCCCGGUUUAAGCAUGUAGGCGGAGGUUCCAGGUAAAUCCGGUACCUUUUAACGCUGAGGUGUGAUGACGAGGCACUACGGUGCUGAAGUAACAAAUGCCCUGCUUCCAGGAAAAGCCUCUAAGCAUCAGGUAACAUUGAAUCGUACCCCAAACCGACACAGGUGGUCAGGUAGAGAAUACCAAGGCGCUUGAGAGAACUCGGGUGAAGGAACUAGGCAAAAUGGUGCCGUAACUUCGGGAGAAGGCACGCUGAUAUGUAGGUGAAGCCCCUGCGGGUGGAGCUGAAAUCAGUCGAAGAUACCAGCUGGCUGCAACUGUUUAUUAAAAACACAGCACUGUGCAAACACGAAAGUGGACGUAUACGGUGUGACGCCUGCCCGGUGCCGGAAGGUUAAUUGAUGGGGUUAUCCGUAAGGAGAAGCUCUUGAUCGAAGCCCCGGUAAACGGCGGCCGUAACUAUAACGGUCCUAAGGUAGCGAAAUUCCUUGUCGGGUAAGUUCCGACCUGCACGAAUGGCGUAAUGAUGGCCAGGCUGUCUCCACCCGAGACUCAGUGAAAUUGAACUCGCUGUGAAGAUGCAGUGUACCCGCGGCAAGACGGAAAGACCCCGUGAACCUUUACUAUAGCUUGACACUGAACAUUGAGCCUUGAUGUGUAGGAUAGGUGGGAGGCUUUGAAGCGUGGACGCCAGUCUGCGUGGAGCCAACCUUGAAAUACCACCCUUUAAUGUUUGAUGUUCUAACGUUGGCCCCUGAUCGGGGUUGCGGACAGUGUCUGGUGGGUAGUUUGACUGGGGCGGUCUCCUCCCAAAGAGUAACGGAGGAGCACGAAGGUUAGCUAAUCCUGGUCGGACAUCAGGAGGUUAGUGCAAUGGCAUAAGCUA
rnacentral:rRNA from 1 species